CGGACGGGUGAGUAAUGUCUGGGAAACUGCCCGAUGGAGGGGGAUAACUACUGGAAACGGUAGCUAAUACCGCAUAACGUCGCAAGACCAAAGUGGGGGACCUUCGGGCCUCACACCAUCGGAUGUGCCCAGAUGGGAUUAGCUAGUAGGUGGGGUAACGGCUCACCUAGGCGACGAUCCCUAGCUGGUCUGAGAGGAUGACCAGCCACACUGGAACUGAGACACGGUCCAGACUCCUACGGGAGGCAGCAGUGGGGAAUAUUGCACAAUGGGCGCAAGCCUGAUGCAGCCAUGCCGCGUGUAUGAAGAAGGCCUUCGGGUUGUAAAGUACUUUCAGCGGGGAGGAAGGCGAUGUGGUUAAUAACCGCGUCGAUUGACGUUACCCGCAGAAGAAGCACCGGCUAACUCCGUGCCAGCAGCCGCGGUAAUACGGAGGGUGCAAGCGUUAAUCGGAAUUACUGGGCGUAAAGCGCACGCAGGCGGUCUGUCAAGUCGGAUGUGAAAUCCCCGGGCUUAACCUGGGAACUGCAUUCGAAACUGGCAGGCUAGAGUCUUGUAGAGGGGGGUAGAAUUCCAGGUGUAGCGGUGAAAUGCGUAGAGAUCUGGAGGAAUACCGGUGGCGAAGGCGGCCCCCUGGACAAAGACUGACGCUCAGGUGCGAAAGCGUGGGGAGCAGACAGGAUUAGAUACCCUGGUAGUCCACGCCGUAAACGAUGUCGACUUGGAGGCUGUUCCCCUGAGGAGUGGCUUCCGGAGCUAACGCGUUAAGUCGACCGCCUGGGGAGUACGGCCGCAAGGUUAAAACUCAAAUGAAUUGACGGGGGCCCGCACAAGCGGUGGAGCAUGUGGUUUAAUUCGAUGCAACGCGAAGAACCUUACCUACUCUUGACAUCCACAGAAUUCGGCAGAGAUGCCUUGGUGCCUUCGGGAACCGUGAGACAGGUGCUGCAUGGCUGUCGUCAGCUCG
rnacentral:rRNA from 1 species